rnacentral:rRNA from 1 species
UACCGGAUACCCUCGCGGAACCGCAUGAUUCUGCGAGGAAAUGCUCCGGCGCUUUGGGAUGGGCUCGCGGCCUAUCAGCUAGUUGGUGAGGUAACGGCUCACCAAGGCACUGACGGGUAGCUGGUCUGAGAGGACGAUCAGCCACACUGGGACUGAGACACGGCCCAGACUCCUACGGGAGGCAGCAGCAGGGAAUAUUGCACAAUGGGCGCAAGCCUGAUGCAGCGACGCCGCGUGAGGGAUGAAGGCUUUCGGGUUGUAAACCUCUUUCAGUGGGGAAGAAGCGCAAGUGACGGUACCCACACAAGAAGGCCCGGCCAACUACGUG